AACCAUUUUUGGUGAUUAUCUAUCAUGCGCUGCAAUUUUUCUACUUCCUUCUCAGUUUUGCAAUCUCUGUGUGCAUCUCGUAGCACCUUACCAAGGUCAUCAUAGGGCCAUCUUCUGCAAACUCAUCUUCAUCAGCCUCGCCCAUUGUAGUAUCUGCAAAAGCUUGGCCUACAGCCCAAUCCGGAAUGUUGUCAUCAUCCUCCUCCUCUUUGAUGUCUU
rnacentral:lncRNA from 1 species